rnacentral:rRNA from 1 species
GCUAGUAAUGGCAGGUCAGCAUACUGCCGUGAAUACGUUCCCGGGCCUUGUACACACCGCCCGUCACACCAUGAGAGUUGGGAAUACCCGAAGCCUGUGAGCUAACUAUAUGAGGCAGCAGUCGAAGGUAGAAUCAAUGAUUGGGGUGAAGUCGUAACAAGGUACC